rnacentral:rRNA from 1 species
AUACCGUGAAACUGCGAAUGGCUCAUUAAAUCAGUUAUCGUUUAUUUGAUAGUACCUUACUACUUGGAUAACCGUGGUAAUUCUAGAGCUAAUACAUGCUAAAAACCCCAACUUCGGGAGGGGUGUAUUUAUUAGAUAAAAAACCAAUGCCCUUCGGGGCUCCUUGGUGAUUCAUGAUAACUUCUCAGAUCGCAUGGCUUUACGCCGGCGACGGUUCAUUCAAAUUUCUGCCCUAUCAACUUUCGAUGGUAAGGUAGUGGCUUACCAUGGUUUCAACGGGUAACGGGGAAUUAGGGUUCGAUUCCGGAGAGGGAGCCGGAGGAACGGCUACCACAUCCAAGGAAGGCAGCAGGCGCGCAAAUUACCCAAUUCCGAUACGGAGAGGUAGUGACAAUAAAUACUGAUACAGGGCUCUUUUGGGUCUUGUAAUUGGAAUGAGUACAAUUUAAACCUCUUAACGAGGAACAAUUGGANNNNNNNNNNNNNNNNNNNNNNNNNNNNAAUUCCAGCUCCAAUAGCGUAUAUUAAAGUUGUUGCAGUUAAAAAGCUCGUAGUUGAACCUUUGGCCUGGCUGGCAGGUCCGCCUCACCGCGUGCACUUGUCCGGCCGGGCCUUUUCUUCUGGAGAACCGCAUGCCCUUCACUGGGUGUGUUGGGGACCAGGACUUUUACUUUGAAAAAAUUAGAGUGUUCAAAGCAGGCCUUUGCUCGAAUACGUUAGCAUGGAAUAAUAGAAUAGGACGUGCGGUCCUAUUUUGUUGGUUUCUAGGACCGCCGUAAUGAUUAAUAGGGACAGUCGGGGGCAUCAGUAUUCAAUUGUCAGAGGUGAAAUUCUUGGAUUUAUUGAAGACUAACUACUGCGAAAGCAUUUGCCAAGGAUGUUUUCAUUAAUCAGUGAACGAAAGUUAGGGGAUCGAAGACGAUCAGAUACCGUCGUAGUCUUAACCAUAAACUAUGCCGACUAGGGAUCGGGCGGUGUUUCUAUUGUGACCCGCUCGGCACCUUACGAGAAAUCAAAGUGUUUGGGUUCUGGGGGAGU